AUCCUAAUGCAGCAAUAUCCACACCAUCGAUCAGAAUUUUUCCACCGGCAGAUUCGAUUAUUCUGAAUAAACUCAAAGUUAAAGAUGACUUUCCAGCACCAGUUCGACCAACAAUACCCACCUAGUAAAAAAAUAAUUAGAACCAGAUCCAGACCAUUUCGAUACCGAACUUGAAAAUCUUGAAAUGCUAUAUCACCUUUGGAUGGCCAAUUUUGAGGCACCGGUUCGUUAAGUAUUUUCCAAGCGGCUUCUUGGGGAGUUUCGCUGUAUUCUUUGACCCUUUCAACAGAAACGAUGUUAGUUUCUGCUUCCGAAGUAACGAGGACGAACCAGUUCAAAAUCUGGGUGAUCUGUGUGAAAUGCGAACUGCGCACCGCAAGCCACCUAAAAGAGUUCAAAAUAGCAGAAAUUCGUCAAAUUUAAUCCAAUAGAAUAAGUUUAAUAAUUUCAAUUUGUAAUUUACCUAUUGGAAACAAGAUUCAGAUAAUAACUUCUCAAAUUAGAG